rnacentral:lncRNA from 1 species
AAAAAAAAGAAAAAUCGAUUAUCAUUUCCCUUUCUCCCCUCACUCAAUCGACUGAAAUCCUAGACAAAGAUCCCUUUCUCUCGUCCUCCUUCGCCACCGCAGCCAACGAGGUAGAGUUCCGGCGGUUGCUAAAUGCUUAAAUAAAUAUUGGUAAAUUAGCAGUACUUUUUUAGGUUAUAGCGACACUCUUUAACUGUUAUUAUAAACCUAGCGACACCACAUAUAGCAACAUUUUUUAAAAAUAUCGGUAAUUUAGCGAGCAACACUUUUUUUGAGCUGUACUGACUUUUAAAAGUGUCGCUAUAGACCGUUUUUACUGUAGUGAGUAUUAAAAACUCUCAGUGAUCAACUAAUAAAUAGUCA